rnacentral:rRNA from 1 species
GAUGAACGCUGGCGGCGUGCUUAACACAUGCAAGUCGAACGGGAAAUAUUUCAUUGAGACUUCGGUGGAUUUGAUUUAUUUCUAGUGGCGGACGGGUGAGUAACGCGUGGGUAACCUGCCUUAUACAGGGGGAUAACAGUCAGAAAUGGCUGCUAAUACCGCAUAAGCGCACAGAGCUGCAUGGCUCAGUGUGAAAAACUCCGGUGGUAUAAGAUGGACCCGCGUUGGAUUAGCUAGUUGGUGGGGUAACGGCCCACCAAGGCGACGAUCCAUAGCCGGCCUGUGAGGGUGAACGGCCACAUUGGGACUGAGACACGGCCCAGACUCCUACGGGAGGCAGCAGUGGGGAAUAUUGCACAAUGGGGGAAACCCUGAUGCAGCGACGCCGCGUGAAGGAAGAAGUAUCUCGGUAUGUAAACUUCUAUCAGCAGGGAAGAUAGUGACGGUACCUGACUAAGAAGCCCCGGCUAACUACGUG